CGCCAUGGUAAGAAGUUUGGAUUUUAUUCCAUUUAUCUUUUUCAUCCCUGGCUGUAACACAAGAAUCACCUGUGGAGCUUUUAAAAUAUCAGUGCCUAGCUCUCACCUCCAGAUUGAUUCUAAUGGUUGUUUUUAAUGGGAAGAGGCCUGAGCAUGUUUCUGUGCUGUGUGGAAGGAGACAACGGGAUUCAGCAUACACAUGGAGGGAUUAGCCUUUGACAUGGAGGAUUAGCCUUAGGGAGAACACCUCACAGAUUGAAAUGUACAGAAAAGAAGGGUAAGUUUGUCAGUGGACUGGGAGGAAAUGGGACCGUUUGGGACCUUAAGUGAAGCUAGGUGGAAGGCCUUGGAGGGAAGAGGGUUCAGUGAAGGCUACCUACACCUGGGGCAGGCUGAUAAAGUGGAGAAACUGAAGGGGUCCAGGAACUCACAACCUUGAUAAGGAUGAAGGCCAGGUGUGGCCGGGAAAGACUACCCACUCCAACAGCCAAAAUUCCCCCUCCUUCAUGGAGCCUGCCUGACUAACGGGAAGUGAGGUGACAACUUCCCCUGGAUCCCACCCUGCCUGACUCACUCCUCACUCAGUGCUCUCCAAGGGGCCCUUCUCCAUCCCCUUUCCCCAGAAGAUAAACCCCUGAUUUACUUUCUCCAAAGGUUCACUCUGAAAACCACCAUCUGUAGGUGGUGUCAGAGUUGUCAUCCAACAACUCUAUAGGUUGUCAUCCAACAACUCUAUUGCCACGAUUAUUUGAGGCUUUACAUGUUUCAGCAGGCAAAUUAAAGGGAAAUGGGAUCAAAGAAGCAGAAAUGACAAUGAGGAAAAAAUGGGAAAAGGUAUGCCUGUAUGUGUGUGAGUGGGUGGGUGAGUGAGCAGGCAGAACAGCAGAGGGAACUGAGUAUGGGAGACGUGGCGGAAUCAGCUAAGGAUGAUAGAACUGAGGGUCCUGGCUGAGGAACAACAGAGUGGCAGGUAGAGAUGGAAGCAGCCUCCUGGGGGCUGUGUCAAGCUUCUCCCUUCCCCAUCCCGUAAAGGACAAAGGGUACUUUCUACACAGCACCCACACAGAGGAGUUGAGGGGAGGGAUGAGUCCGUGAGGAUAGCGGAGUGAGGAUGAGGGUGAAGGGUUUGUCAGUUAAUCAUCUGGCAUGUCCCUGGGCCUUAGCCAGGUAGCUAGUGUCCUCUGCCUAAGGCUGGGACCUUGGCUGAAGAAACUGGGGUGGGAAAAACAUCCAGCUGGCAGAAGGGAGAGACGGCAUGCAAACACUCACCAUAUCACCCAGAAUUGGGGGGGUUUUCCUAGACCCCUGAGAGGUCAGGGACAGAGUCUGAUCCGUCCAUGGGCAGCCAAUGCCAAUACUAUGGAUAUCAUUCAGUGUUCGGUGAACUGAACCAAAGAAACUCAGGUAGGGGGAGAGGGUGUGAUAGAACCUACAGGAAGAGCUCUGGAGAGGGAAAAGGGGAGGCUUUUGGUUAGAGGACAAAUGAGGGGAGGUUGUCAAGAUGGAGGAGAGUUAUUAGCAAGAUCUGGAAGAUGUGUGAGAAGGGCCAAAAGGGGAAAAGAGGAAACUUAGCUUACUCUUCAAUAUUCUUUGUAGCAAGCCUGGGGCCAGUUGCUUUCCAUACGCUCUUAUGGUUCAGUCCUGUAAGGUAAGUACUAUUAUCACCACUUAACAGAGGAAAAGAAUGCAAUCAGCAAGGGUGAAGGAUUUUCUCCAAGUCACACAGCAAGUAAGGUUGAAGCAACACAGGUGUUCCAGGCUGAGGAAAAAGUGUGGACAAAAGGAUGGACGUAGGAAAGCAGAGGACGGGUGUAGGGAAUUGCAAGUGAUUCUGUUUGGUGAAAGGAUACGGUGAAUGACGUUCAUAUGCUAGAAGGUUAAAGAGUAGGUUGGCCCCAAGUCAUGAACUGUUUUGAAUGAAAGAAUGAGGAGGUUUGUUUGUAUUGGGGUGGCCCUGAAGAUUUUUACAAAAGGGGUUGGUAUGAUACCCAUUGUUCUUUAUCACGAAAAACGUGGGACAGUGAGGCACAUUAUUAAGAGAAAAGCAGAGGCAGGGAGGCCAGCUCAGGGGCACAGGUGUGACACAGUGAAGGCCUGACCUAAAGCAACGGGAGUGAGAAGGAAGAAGAGGGGAGAGAGCAGAGAGGACCGAGAAUUGACAGCAAGGUUGUCAGGCUGGCUAACUCGGUGGAGCAGGAUGGAGGAAACAAAUGCAGUUUGGGACAUCCUGAGUUUGAGGUAAGAUGGCACAUUCCCCAGGCAAUCUGAAACACAGUACUGUAAGUUUAGGAGAAAGGAUGGGGCUCGAGGAAAAAAUGGGAGGAUUCUCUGUAGAGAGACGACACCACACAAAGUGGACUGUGGUAGCUCCAGUUUUAGUGUAUUCAGACACUUUCCCAUCCCCCUGCUUUCAUUUCCAUUAAGGAAUUCCUGCCCUACUCCAUUGGCCCAUUAAUCACGGUGUUCUCCCAACUUCCCCCAAUCCAAGCUCCUAAUGGCACAGAAUCCAAGCAAGAACAUCCAGAGUUCUUCCACAACACGGGCUAUACUGCUGCAGAGUGGACAAAUGCAGAGACAGAGCCCAGAUAACACUGGAGCCCCCGAGCCCGCCUAGAGCCAGUCACCCUUCAAUGCCGCAUCCGCAUUUGGGUCCCCCUUUUUUAAUUUUGGUUAAGCUGGUUUAAUUGUAAUGUGUUGCAGUCAAAACAGUCUAAUAUACCAUGUGAUAUAAAAGAGAUUGUUCAGGAGAGAGAAGAGAAAGAAUAGUAGUUAGCAUUUGAGGGCUGACUAUAUGCCUGAAGGGCCUUGUAUGCCAUUCUAAGAAGCUUGGACUUUAUCCUGUAGAAUAUUAAGAGCUACUUAAAGGUUUAAGUUUAAUUUUAAAUAUGCUCAGUUGAAGGGACCCUUUUCAGGUCGGUGUUAUAAUCUCAUUUUACAGAGGUGGAAACGGAGGUUCUUGGAAGUGAAGUAACUUGCCUAAGAUCACUCAAUGAAUAAGUGUCCAGGUGAGGUAUAAUGUAAGAGUGGUCAAGUCUAAAGGGGAGGAGGUGGUAAAGGCUUUACAGGAGUAGGUGACACUGGAAGGAUGAUUUGUUCACUAGGUGAACAAGGGGGUUGGAGCAGGAAAAAGGGAGGGCCGAACAUAUGUAAGCCAUGGAGGUGGAGACAGCGCCUGACCCCAGGUAUUGGCUACAGCUGAGAGUACUGACGUUAGUGGCAAGAACGGUGGAGUUGCCAUGACAAAACAAGGCCCAAGGACUGACGAACCUCUGUGGCAUCUGACCCUGGAUGGCAAGGAUCUGAGGUGUGGUUCUUCAUACACCUCUCCCUCAAGGUGUCUAGGAGGAAAGGGGUGACACAGGGGAAUAGUGGGAGGUGUCAGAACACACCCCAGCAGUCUCCUGGAAAAGAUAGCUAAACCUGUGUGACCCCCAUUUAAUGUCAAAGGUGUGCCACCACGUCAAUCCCUGCCACCUUACCUGGUUGACCUGCUUGGGCCAUUUGCACCCCACUGAGCAUUGGCUGCUGCUGGCUUGGAGCUCCUGUC